rnacentral:tRNA from 1 species
GGGCCCUUAGCUCAGUUGGUUAGAGCAUCCGACUCAUAAUCGGCAGGUCCGCGGUUCGAGUCCGCGAGGGCCCACCA